rnacentral:rRNA from 1 species
GACGGGUGAGUAAUGCCUAGCGAAUCUGCCUGGUAGUGGGGGAUAACGUUCGGAAACGGACGCUAAUACCGCAUACGUCCUACGGGAGAAAGCANGGGACCUUCGGGCCUUGCGCUAUCAGAUGAGCCUAGGUCGGAUUANCUAGUUGGUGGGGUAAUGGCUCACCAAGGCGACGAUCCGNAACUGGUCUGAGAGGAUGAUCAGAUCACACUGGAACUGAGACACGGUCCANACUCCUACGGGAGGCAGCAGUGGGGAAUAUUGGACAAUGNGCGAAAGCCUGAUCCAGCCAUGCCGCGUGUGUGAAGAAGGUCUUCGGAUUGUAAAGCACUUUAAGUUGGGAGGAAGGGUUGUAGAUUAAUACUCUGCAAUUUUGACGUUACCGACAGAAUAAGCACCGGCUAACUCUGUGCCAGCAGCCGCGGUAAUACAGAGGGUGCAAGCGUUAAUCGGAAUUACUGGGCGUAAAGCGCGCGUAGGUGGUUAGUUAAGUUGGAUGUGAAAUCCCCGGGCUCAACCUGGGAACUGCAUUCAAAACUGACUGACUAGAGUAUGGUAGAGGGUGGUGGAAUUUCCUGUGUANCGGUGAAAUGCGUANAUAUAGGAAGGAACACCAGUGGCGAAGGCGACCACCUGGACUGAUACUGACACUGANGUGCGAAAGCGUGGG